GCCACCAGCACCCCUAAAACACAGGAGGUAUUUUAUGUAGGCUUUGUUUCACUGCUCUAGUGCUCUUUUCAAGUAAGAGUGACCAUUCAGUCCUUCCUGAUCCUCUUACAUCUACAAAGCUUAAAAUACAACCAACAGAAACAUCAAAUCAACCUCAAAGACUUUCCUCUCCACAUUCUCCUUAAAGCGUCUGUGAUUGUAAAUGACUUGCUGUGAUCGCUGCAGCAAGCAAAAAGAGUUUAUUAGUAUGAUCACGUGUACACUCAUGCAAACUUGCACUGUUGCCGAUUGCGUUUAGUUCUCUCUUUGCCCCCUGACACUUUUCCUGCUUCCGAAAUUUAAAAAACAGUUUUUAUUGCAGCGGAGAAAGCUGGGAGGGUCAGACGGUAAUGCAUCUCAUUUCCCAGUCUCCACCAAAAUUGAAUUGACAUUGUGAAAUGUCAGCAUGUGUGACAGUGUCGGGAACGCUGCUGAAAAUGUCAACAAGUACAGGUUCAAAGAGAGAGGAGGCUUGUUUAAAAACCAAAUGGCAUGCAGCCCUUUACCCAAUCCUAAUAGAAACACAAUUUUUAUCGCUGCUUAAGCGAUAAAAAUUUACAUGCUGCAUUGAAUUUAUGAUGUUCUAAAAUACGCUAUAAAUUGCACCUUCAGAACCCGUGGGAAAAUAUUUUCAUAUCUCCUCAGAUGCUCGGUGAUUUGGCUUUCAUUUAACUGCAGUGUGAUUGUCUCUACCCUUUUCUCCUCUGCUAAGAUCUGCGAGUACAUUUCAGGAAGGAUGCAGCGAAUUAGUACUUAACGUCAAAUCCUCCGACUCACAUGUAGCUGUGUGAAAGCAGAGUGACUCAGAGAGGAAAUGCUUAAUACUCUGCACAGCUGUUGUGUUUUAACACCUUUUAACAUAACAUCAACAUAUAUUAGUGAAUGUGAUGUGUGGAGGGAAUCCAAAAGCCUCCUAUUUGAAUGAAAACUACAUUCAUCACAUCCCUUUCUGUUAAUCCAAAGCCUUUAAUUUCUCUGAGAAAAGGAACACUAUUUUCAUACUUGUUCUUGUCAUACCAAACACAUCUUCAGUCAAACAUUGUCUCUGCUCUGUGAGAGAAAUGUUCAACCUUAAUCUGAAGCCAUACAGCCUUUAGAAGAACCUGUUUCAUUGUGUGCAUAGAUUAUACUGUCAUCUGCAUACACAUGAUUUUUGCCUUUACAUUGUCAUGGCUUGUGUCUUAAUGUUCGCACUAAAGAGCAGAUUUGUUUCGAGUCAUUGCUGAUGUUUUCAUUGAAUGUGUUGGACUCAAAAUGUCGACAUGUUGCUUCACCAGCAUCAACUGCAGCUUUAACUUUUAUCUCUGCUUUUUUUUUUGCUUUACACACUUGUGCUUUAUUUGUUGAACUACACUACUGUAAUUUAUUGUAGUUUUUUACUUUACAGGGACUUCUGUCCCUUGCUUUUAUGAUCAAGUGCUUUAUGUGCAUCAUGUGCAUUGCUUCACUUCAUGUGCUUUACAGAAGUUACUGUAAGACUUCACUGUUGUUUUUUUAAAUCAUCUCAUGUUUACUUUAAACUGCACUCGGAGGCAUUUGUCACCCAAACGUUACACUGUGGAAAAGAGACUCAAGGAGAAAGAGGCUGAAUGAACUUCUACAAACAAUAAUCAGAACAGCUUAUGAGCUUUGUUCUCAAACUCAGCGCUCCUUAUGUUAGACUGUUCUCUCUGGGAAAAGUUAGGAGAAAGCAUCAAUUACAUUCAGAUCUCUUUAUUUAAAGGGACAAAGUGUUGUUUUUGCACGUUUCAGGUUCUUACUUGUGUACUUCUUACUCUGUUAAACAGACAGAAAUGGUUCCCAUUCGUUCACUGAAGCAGAAUGUCAUAAAGUCUCUAAACUGGUGUCGAUCAGGUCAGCUUUUAGAUAAAAAAACAUUUCAAAGAGUUUUUAAAAUCAUUUUGUUUCUUGGUUUUCAUGUCAAUUAUUUCUUUUCCAAAGUAUUUUCAAUUAAAAUGAAAUAUUCAUUGCUUUGUAUACAGGGGGGCGUCAAAAACGGCACAAACUUAGUUUGAAUCAGAAGUUUUAAAAAGAAAAAUUACGAAGUUCAGUUUGAACUGUCGGAACAAUUACAAAAAAACAAGAACUGUUUCGAUGUACAUUCAGGCAAAAUGUUUUAAAAUGACCGAAAUAUUAAAACCUAAAGCGUCAUGAAAGACUUUAACUCAAACAAUUGGAAAUAAAUGGUUGCUGAAAAACACUGAAACACGAUGAUUGACACUACAGAAUGUUUAAAAAGACUAAUUUGGUUACUGCAUGAUUUCUACUAUAUGAACUAAAAUAUGCAAAAACACUGCUAUGUUCCUUUAAAUACUGAACCAGCCUAGAGGUGCUAACGGUUACAUUGUUAACCACACUGUUAAAUUGCACAGGUAGUAACUACAGUGUGACACUCAAACAUCAUCACCAUUAUGACCUCACGGUGUCAUCACUCCACCACCAAAGAAGUCUUCCCCCUCCUUUGUUCACAUCAUCGUUCUCAGUUAGCCUGAUCUCCACCCUCCUGUCCUCCGUCAUCUUUCACCACAGUGAGCACUUUAACAAAGCUGUACCUUUAUCUCUAACACCCACGUCGGACAGCAAUAAGUGGCUUUAAUGCAGUGUGCAUGGUGCAUCAGGUGACACCUCACAGGGAAGAGGAAUGUACUUUAUUAACAGAGAAGGGUUGAGGUGUUUUUACCUGCAGUGAAUGCCAUGACAAGAUGGAAAGUUUGAUUCUAUUUCUCCAUGUUUUUUUUUUUUUCAUGUGUUUGUUGAAUUUAUGUGUCAGUCAAUUGUUUGCAAAUUUAAACUUUGCAAUAAUUUAGAUUUUUAUUUGAUAUACACAUAAAUGGGAAUUUAUUAGAUAUUUAAAGAAACAUGUAUUAGAAAUGUAUUAUCUGUACAAAUCAGUACCUGGAAGAUAACAAGUGUGCACUUUGUCCUUGAUUAACCUUUAGCUUUCAUCAUUCCACUAACUGUAACGGUGACCAGAGAACAACCAGAGGUGAAAACACGUCAGAUACUAUAUUCCAGAUUAAAGUUUUACUUUAUAGCUA